UACAGAGGGUGCGAGCGUUGUUCGGAAUUAUUGGGCGUAAAGGGCGCGUAGGCGGUGCGGUAAGUCACUUGUGAAAUCUCCUGGCUCAACUGGGAGCUUGCAGGCGAAACUGCCGUGCUGGAGUGUGGGAGAGGUGCGUGGAAUUCCCGGUGUAGCGGUGAAAUGCGUAGAUAUCUGCAGGAACGCCCGUGGCGAAAGCGGCGCGCUGGACCACUACUGACGCUGAGGAACGAAAGCUAGGGGAGCAAACAGG
rnacentral:rRNA from 1 species